rnacentral:rRNA from 1 species
AGUGAACGCUGGCGGUAGGCCUAACACAUGCAAGUCGAACGGCAGCACAGUAAGAGCUUGCUCUUACGGGUGGCGAGUGGCGGACGGGUGAGGAAUACAUCGGAAUCUACUUUUUCGUGGGGGAUAACGUAGGGAAACUUACGCUAAUACCGCAUACGACCUACGGGUGAAAGCAGGGGAUCUUCGGACCUUGCGCGAUUGAAUGAGUCGAUGUCGGAUUAGCUAGUUGGCGGGGUAAAGGCCCACCAAGGCGACGAUCCGUAGCUGGUCUGAGAGGAUGACACGCCACCUGGGAACUAGGCCAGGGCCCAGACCCCUAGGGGGGGCAGGGGGGGGAAAUUUUGAAAAAGGGGGGAAAGCCUGACCCAGCCAUCCCGGGGGGGUGAAGAAGGCCUUGGGGUUGUAAAGCCUUUUUGUUGGGAAAAAAAAGCAGCAGGUUAAUCCCCCGCUUUUCUGACGGUACCAAAAGAAAAAGCCCCGGCUAAUUUCGU